UCCAGGGAAGCUUGCUUCCUGAAGACCUAGUGGACGAACGGGUGAGUAAACACGUGAGAAACCUGCCUCGGAGUGGGGAAUAACUCGGGGAAACUCGAGCUAAUACCGCAUACCUUCACAUGAUCGCAUGGUCGAGUGAAGAAAGAAUUUCGCUCUGAGAGGGUCUCGCGGCCUAUCAGCUUGUUGGUGGGGUAACGGCCUACCCAAGGCAACGACGGGUAGCUGGUUUGAGAGAACGAUCAGCCACACUGGGACUGAGACACGGCCCAGACUCCUACGGGAGGCAGCAGUGGGAAUCUUGCGCAAUGGGCGAAAGCCUGACGCAGCAACGCCGCGUGCGGGAUGACGGCCUUCGUGGUUGUAAACCGCUUUCAGCAGGGACGAAAAUGACGGUACCUGCAGAAGAAGCCCCGGCUAACUACGUG
rnacentral:rRNA from 1 species